UGCACGGUCCCCAGGGUUUGCCUGCAUAC
rnacentral:piRNA from 1 species